rnacentral:rRNA from 1 species
GGUUGUAUCUGCCAGUAGCAUAUGCUUGUCUCAAAGAUUAAGCCAUGCAUGUCUAAGUAUAAAUGACUUUAUACAGUGAAACUGCAGAUGGCUCAUUAAAUCAGUUAUAAUUUACUUGAUGAUUAACUUUUUACAUGGAUACCCGUAGUAAUUCUAGAGCUAAUACAUGCGCAAAGUCCCGACUCUCUGUGGGAGGGAUGUAUUUAUUAGAUAAAAUCCUAAAACCAAUAGGAGUUGUAAAGGGGUGACUCUUUGCAGCUUCUUCUCAAUACUUGGUGAUUCAUAGUAACUUUUCCAUUCAGAUCGCAUUUAGCUUCAAUGCUGGCGACAGAUCAUUCAAAUUUCUGCCCUAUCAGCUUUCGACGGUAGUGUAGAGGCCUACCGUGGCAUUAACGGGUGACGGAGAAUUAGGGUUCGGUUCCGGAGAGGGAGCCUGAGAAAUGGCUAUCACAUCCAAGGAAGGCAGCAGGCGCGCAAAUUACCCAAUCCUGACACAGGGAGGUAGUGACAAGAAAUAACAAUACCGGAUUGAUUAACAAUUUGGUAAUUGGAAUGAGCACAAUUUAAAUCCCUUAGCGAGGACCAAUUGGAGGACAAGUCUGGUGCCAGCACCCGCGGUAAUUCCAGCUCCAAUAGCGUAUAUUAAAGUUGUUGCAGUUAAAAAGCUCGUAGUUGGAUUUCUGGCAUUGGUGUGCCUAGUCCGCUUUUUUUUUUGAGAUACCGAUUAAAAGGUAUUUUGAAAGAGGAAGUGUGCCCCGGGUUUGCUUUUCAAUUCUAUUUUUGAAUUGGAAAGUGAAAAAAGCAUGCCUGCCAUCUUUUUUUCCGGGAGGGACAUCUACUCUUCAUUGGGUUGGGUGUUACUUUAAACCUCCGCCGGAUCGUUUACUUUGAAAAAAUUAGAGUGUUUAAAGCAGGCGUUAUCGCCACAAAAAAAUCAUUUGAAUACAUUAGCAUGGAAUAAUAAGAUAGGGCUUUGGUUUUUCUUUAUUGAAUUCUCACGAAUUUAGUAGAGGAACUAGUCUUGUUUUGUUGGUGUUUAAAGAACCGAAGCAAUGAUUGAUAGGGACUGUUGGGGGUGCUAGUAUUCAACGGCCAGAGGUGAAAUUCUUGGAUUCGUUGAAGACUAACUAAUGCGAAAGCAUUCACCAAGGAAGUCUUCUUUAAUCAAGAACGAAAGUUGGGGGAUCGAAGACGAUCAGAUACCGUCGUAGUCUCAACUAUAAACUAUGCCGACUAGAUAUGGGUAUUCGUUGCAAAAAGGUUAGUACUCGAAAGAGGCUAACUUUUAAAAUAAUCGACAUUAUCUAUCAUCUUGAUGAGAAAUCAAAGUCUUUGGGUUCCGGGGGGAGUAUGGUCGCAAGGCUGAAACUUAAAGGAAUUGACGGAAGGGCACCACCAGGCGUGGAACUUGCGGCUUAAUUUGACCCAACACGGGAAAACUUACCAGGUCCAGACAUAGUGAGGAUUGACAGAUUGAAGAUCUUUCUUGAUUCUAUGGGUGGUGGUGCAUGGCCGUUCUUAGUUGGUGGAGUGAUUUGUCUGGUUUAUUCCGUUAACGAACGAGACCUCGACCUGCUAAAUAGUCUGGUUCACUUGAGUAACAUUGAGUGGAUAAAUAGGAAUAUGGGAUUUGGUAUUUGAGAUUUUGAUUGGUGGGUUAAACUAUCAGUUAAGAUUUUAAGUGCUAUGUCUUUAUUCUUACCUUUUCUUGGGACUUCUUAGAGGGACUAUCGGUGGUUAGCCGAUGGAAGUUCGAGGCAAUAACAGGUCUGUGAUGCCCUUAGAUGUUUUGGGCCGCACGCGUGUUACACUGACACAUUCAUCAAGCUUAUAACCUUGGUCGAAAGGCCUGGGUAAUCUUAAUGAAAUUGUCUAGUCGUGAUGGGGAUAGAUGAUUGUAAUUAUUCAUCUUCAACGAGGAAUGCCUAGUAAACGCAAGUCAUCAGCUUGCAUUGAUUACGUCCCUGCCCUUUGUACACACCGCCCGUCGCUACUACCGAUUGAAUGGUUUAGUGAGUUUCACGGACUAGAUUUUUGGUCAUCGGUUAAUGAGGUUCUCCUUGUUAACUUGGCUAUUGGGAAGUGCAUCAAACUUGACCAUUUAGAGGAAGUAAAAGUCGUAACAAGGUUUCCGUAGGUGAACCUGCAGAAGGAUCA